CCUACGGGAGGCAGCAGUGAGGAAUUUUCCGCAAUGGGCGAAAGCCUGACGGAGCGAUACCGCGUGAAGGAUGAAGGCCCGUGGGUUGUAAACUUCUUUUCUUUGGGAGGACUUCCGACCGUACCAAAGGAAUCAGCAUCGGCUAACUCUGUGCCAGCAGCCGCGGUAAGACAGAGGAUGCAAGCGUUAUCCGGAUUGAUUGGGCGUAAAGCGUUCGUAGGUGGCUUCCCAAGUCGUUUGUUAAAACGCAGAGCUCAACUCUGCAAAGGCAGGCGAAACUCGGAAGCUGGAGACUGGUAGGGGUCGAGGGAAUUCCCGGUGGAGCGGUGAAAUGCGUAGAGCUCGGGAAGAACACCAAUGGCGAAAGCACUCGACUGGGCCAGGUCUGACACUGAGGAACGAAAGCUAAGGGAGCGAAUGGGAUUAGAUACCCUAGUAGUC
rnacentral:rRNA from 1 species